rnacentral:rRNA from 1 species
UGAUGGAGGGGGAUAACUACUGGAAACGGUAGCUAAUACCGCAUAACGUCGCAAGACCAAAGAGGGGGACCUUCGGGCCUCUUGCCAUCGGAUGUGCCCAGAUGGGAUUAGCUAGUAGGUGGGGUAACGGCUCACCUAGGCGACGAUCCCUAGCUGGUCUGAGAGGAUGACCAGCCACACUGGAACUGAGACACGGUCCAGACUCCUACGGGAGGCAGCAGUGGGGAAUAUUGCACAAUGGGCGCAAGCCUGAUGCAGCCAUGCCGCGUGUAUGAAGAAGGCCUUCGGGUUGUAAAGUACUUUCAGCGGGGAGGAA